AUUGAACGCUGGCGGCAGGCCUAACACAUGCAAGUCGGGCGAGCGGCGGACGGGCGAGGAAUGUAUGGGGAUCUGCCUGAUGGCGGGGGAUAACUACUGGAAACGGUAGCUAACACCGCAUACCAUCAGAUGAACCCAUAUGGGAUUAGCUUGCAGUUGAGGUAAAGGCUCACCAAGCCGACGAUCCCUAGCUGGUCUGAGAGGAUGACCAGCCACACUGGGACUGAGACACGGCCCAGACUCCGACGGGAGGCAGCAGUGGGGAAUAUUCCGCAAUGGUGGCAACCCUGACGGAGCCAUGCCGCGUGAGUGAAGAAGGCCUUUGGGUUGUAAAGUUCUUUCGGUAGCGAUGCGUUAUCUACAAAAGAAGAACCGGCUAACUCCGUGCCAGCAGCCGCGGUAAUAC
rnacentral:rRNA from 1 species